CUGACACUGGGUGAGUUGUGAGAAUGUCUGUGUGUGGUGAGAGCAGAUCAGGUGAGUGGGGGGUGAAAGGAGGAGUGUGAUGAGGAGAAGAUUGGGGUAAAUGGUGCUUCAAAAGCCCAGAAAAAGGGGCCGGGGGGGCAGAUGCCCGGAUAUUGCCCCCCUUUCUCAGCUUACGCCCUCCGAUACCUUCUCACAUCCUGAACCUUCCACGCAACUCUUUCCAGAAUCUUCACGAUUCUCGACCCAAACCUUUCACGCAACCGCUUCAUAUCGGAGAGUCCUGGCCGGGGUUUGAACCAGCAACCUCUCAACCCAGAGGUGAAGCUCAUCCAACUGAGCCACAGGAUCUCAUACUAACAAGCUGUUUUAAUGCACAUUUCACUUUUCUAUUCUACAACAAACUACAACAAACAAAAGCUGAAGCUGAGGAUCAAACCAGGGACCUCAUGUAGCAGAGACGGUGAUGAUCACCACUACACCACACUGGGAAGAGCGGAGAUGUUGCUGACUGCUCUUUUCUUCUGUUCAUUUUUACCACCACCACUAAAUUGAAGCACGACGGCUCGGCAGGCCAAGAGUACUGAAUUGGACAGAGAGAUGGAAAUAGAGCGUUAAAGGAAGUGAGAAAAUGACAGAGCAUGUUUGUACAUUUACUUCUCAUGGAAAGAAAAAAAGAAC